rnacentral:rRNA from 1 species
GCGAAGAGGUCACACCCGUUCCCAUACCGAACACGGAAGUUAAGCUCUUCAGCGCCGAUGGUAGUUGGGGGUCUCCCCCUGUGAGAGUAGGACGUCGCUGGGC